GGUGGGUUGGCUCAGUGGUUAGAGCGUAGGUCUCGUAACCGAAAAGUCGCGGGAUCGAAUCUAGUCUACACGU
rnacentral:tRNA from 1 species